UUUCCAUAUGCUGUUUGUUUCUUUCUUGAUGCUUGUUUCCUUGCAGGUGAAGAUCACGGAGAUCCAGAGGACUCGUCUUGCGGUGCUGUUGAAGAUUAAAAACCCUAGGGUUUCAUUAUCUGUCUUGGGCCUCUGUAUUCGGGCCUUUGUUUGUUUUGGUUUGGGCCUUGUGGCCCAUUUGUAAUUCAGGAUUUUAAACCCGGGCAAAAUUGGGUAUUU
rnacentral:lncRNA from 1 species